rnacentral:rRNA from 1 species
AGCGAACGCUGGCGGCAGGCCUAACACAUGCAAGUCGAACGAAGUCUUCGGACUUAGUGGCGGACGGGUGAGUAACACGUGGGAACGUACCUUUUGGUUCGGAACAACUCAGGGAAACUUGAGCUAAUACCGGAUGAGCCCUUAGGGGGAAAGAUUUAUCGCCGAAAGAGCGGCCCGCGUUAGAUUAGCUAGUUGGUGAGGUAAAGGCUCACCAAGGCUACGAUCUAUAGCUGGUCUGAGAGGAUGAUCAGCCACACUGGGACUGAGACACGGCCCAGACUCCUACAGGAGGCAGCAGUGGGGAAUCUUGCGCAAUGGGCGAAAGCCUGACGCAGCCAUGCUGCGUGAAUGAUGAAGGUCUUAGGAUUGUAAAAUUCUUUUACCAGGGACGAUAAUGACGGUACCUGGAGAAAAAGCCCCGGCUAACUACGUGCCAGCCGCCGCAGUAAGAC